GUAAUUUGAAUACAUAUACAAAAACAGGAUUAUACAGUCACAAUAAAAAAAUAAAAAAAUUACUAUACAUUUUUUGAGAAUUAUAAUAAAAAAAUAAAAAAUUAAAAAUGUCUCAUUUUACUGUCCAUUAACCGGUCUGCCAAGACUUAUUUCCACCACAUUUGAAGGGACAAUUUUGUCAUUAGCCCAUAAUUAUAACAACAUGGAAUUAAUCACAGGUGUUGUGCAAUCAAGGAAGUUUGAUCGAAUUGACCCUUUCUCCAAAAUUAUGGUUUCAAUAAGAUAGAGAGAGAAAGACAUGUUUUACUGUUUUCCCUCUCCUCCUAACCCUGAAAAUAGAGGAAGCCCGCAUAACAAAAGAAAAAACAGAGAUUGAGAGAGAAAAAGAUGGGAGAUGGAGGGAGAGGAAAAAAUGAGAGAAGAGGGAAAUUGAUUUACAAGAAUUCUAUUCAUUGACUUCUACACAACUAAUUUUUAUACAAAUUAUCUCUCCAAACUUACUCCCUCCUUGUUGACUGUUUGAAGAAAUCAAAAGAAUCCUUUGCAUAAUAUUAUCAAAUUCAUAUAAACUGUAGAUUUGAAUUUUUGGGUUUAGAUUUAUAACGCGGAGUAGACCCCUCCUUCAAUUUCGUUGCCACGAUUCCGGAAAAACCCAUUUCCAGAGUAGAAAAUGAGCAACAAAAUGAUUCUCUUCCGAUUUCCACUAGUGCUGGUCAUGGUUGUGGUGUUAUCGCUUCAGGUGAAACUUCGAUCCUCCAAUUUCUUCGGGUCAUAUGGCACAAGCCGUGGGCGUGGAUCAACGAUUCCAUCUCAACCAGACUCACAAGAUCCGGACACAAAAACCCCAUUUUCUUUAUUAGAAUGGAAGAAGAAGAAGCAAAAUCUACUGUAUCUGCUCCCAAAUCCCAAAUUAUUGGCAAAUUGGGUAGAGAAAUUUAGCAAAAAAAUAAAAUAAAAUUGGGUAGACCUGAGGAGAGUAAUCUGAAAAAGUGGAAAAAAUUAUCUUAUAAAUUAUAAUUCUAUUAUGACAGACACGUGGACGAAUACUGCAAACCC
rnacentral:lncRNA from 1 species